AAAUGCAUUUUUUUUCAGACAAACGCAGUGAAAACCUGGUGCUUCUUACUUGUUGUGUUGACUGCAUACCUUGCGGUUACAGGGGCAACACCGUAUCGGAACACACCAGUUCCCUAUCAACCACCACUCCGCUGUUCCGUGAGAUGCGGGUGCGAGACGUUUGUUUGUGGCAAGCGCGGACUAGGUUGCAUGUCACGUGAUCCAGAAGUGUCAUUUUGUCUCAAUCAUCCUGACAUUUUUGAAAGUCCGGCGUCAUAUAAUUUGGAUUGCUGCUUAAACGCUUGUAACCAAGGCUUCCCGUCGUUAUCCGUCAGUGAUAGGUAGCUAUUGGAGACAAACGGAGCUAUGACUGUCAAGCAGCCGGUAAAGUGGACACGAGCGCCUUAACAAAUGAAUAGAAGAAUGUAUACUUCUUGAAAUGAUUAUAUGUUACAUUUAUAAAAAGAAGUAUAAAAGUUUU